rnacentral:tRNA from 1 species
UUAAAAUAAAGCAUAACCCUGAAGAUGUUAAAAUGGCUGCCUUUCGCACCCAAGGACA